AAACCCUAAUAUCUAAGCUAUAAAUACACACUACUAACUCAAUUUGCCGUGCGUAAUUAUGCUGACCAUUAAAAUCCUUCUGCUCCUCUCAAACUCCUCUUGUGCCGUCAACUGAAGUUAUCAUAUUGUAUAGAGAGGGAGACUAUUUAGGAAAUAACGCAAAGAGACUAUUAGUUCAAAGUACGCACGCGUUCAAGGUUGGUAAAGAUACUUGGCUACGAGUGAGGAGACGCUUAGAAUAACCACCUAGUAAAGAGACAAUUUCUAGUUCAGUUUAAGUUGAACUUUGUUAUUUAUUUUAUGAGAAUUGGUUGUAUUAUUUUUAUGGGCCA